AACGAACGCUGGCGGCAUGCCUAACACAUGCAAGUCGAACGAGACCUUCGGGUCUAGUGGCGCACGUGUGCGUAACGCGUGGGAACCUGCCCUUAGGUUCGGAAUAACUCCCCGAAAGGUGUGCUAAUACCGGUUAAUGUCUUCCGACCAAAGAUUUAUCGCCUUUGGAUGGGCCCGCGUUGGAUUAGCUAGUUGGUAGGGUAAAAGCCUACCAAGGCGACGAUCCAUAGCUGGUCUGAGAGGAUGAUCAGCCACACUGGGACUGAGACACGGCCCAGACUCCUACGGGAGGCAGCAGUGGGGAAUAUUGGACAAUGGGCGAAAGCCUGAUCCAGCAAUGCCGCGUGAGUGAUGAAGGCCUUAGGGUUGUAAAGCUCUUUUACCCGGGAUGAGAAUGACAGUACCGGGAGAAUAAGCUCCGGCUAACUCCGUG
rnacentral:rRNA from 1 species